rnacentral:misc_RNA from 1 species
UCUCCGUUGGUGAACCAGCGGAGGGAUCAUUAUAGAGUUUUCUAAACUCCCAACCCUUUGUGAACUUACCUUUGUUGCCUCGGCGGGUGCUCCGGCUCGCUCCGGAGCGCUACGCCCGCCGGCGGCACACAACUCUUGUCUCUUGCGUUGGCAUCUCCGAGCAAACAAAAACGAGUCAAAACUUUUAACAACGGAUCUCUUGGUUCUGGCAUCGAUGAAGAACGCAGC